rnacentral:rRNA from 1 species
AGCGGAGAAAAGAAACCAACAGGGAUUGCCCCAGUAACGGCGAGUGAAGCGGCAACAGCUCAAAUUUGAAAUCUGGCCCCAGGCCCGAGUUGUAAUUUGCAGAGGAUGCUUUUGGCGCGGUGCCUUCCGAGUUCCCUGGAACGGGACGCCAUAGAGGGUGAGAGCCCCGUACGGUUGGACACCAAGCCUUUGUAAAGCUCCUUCGACGAGUCGAGUAGUUUGGGAAUGCUGCUCUAAAUGGGAGGUACAUUUCUUCUAAAGCUAAAUAUUGGCCAGAGACCGAUAGCGCACAAGUAGAGUGAUCGAAAGAUGAAAAGCACUUUGAAAAGAGGGUUAAACAGCACGUGAAAUUGUUAAAAGGGAAGCGCUUGUGACCAGACUUGCGUCCGGUGAAUCACCCAGCUCUCGCGGCUGGGGCACUUCGCCGGCACAGGCCAGCAUCAGCUUGCCGUCGGGGACAAAAGCUUCAGGAACGUGGCUCCUCUCGGGGAGUGUUAUAGCCUGUUGCACAAUACCCUUCGGCGGGCUGAGGUACGCGCUCCGCAAGGAUGCUGGCGUAAUGGUCAUCAGCGACCCGUCUUGAAACACGGACCAAGGAGUCAACCUUAUGUGCGAGUGUUUGGGUGUUAAACCCCUACGCGUAAUGAAAGUGAACGCAGGUGAGAGCUUCGGCGCAUCAUCGACCGAUCCUGAUGUUCUCGGAUGGAUUUGAGUAAGAGCAUAUAGGGUUGGACCCGAAAGAAGGUGAACUAUGCGUGUGUAGGGUGAAGCCAGAGGAAACUCUGGUGGAGGCUCGCAGCGGUUCUGACGUGCAAAUCGAUCGUCAAACAUGCGCAUGGGGGCGAAAGACUAAUCGAAC